CUCCGAACGAUGCUCGGAACCAGCCGCUUCCACGUCCCAGUGCCCCUCCUCAGAAGAAGUCAAGCGGCAAGCAGAACUUCGAAGGACUGCGUACUGAUCAACGCCGAGCUCAGGUGACCGUCAUGCAAGAGCUUCUGCCCAGGAGCAUCCGCCACACAAACUACAGACCCUGACAUCAUGAAAAAUGACGGUACCUACAGCGCCCACUUCACACAGUUCACGGGCCGAGGAAGGUACUCUGUCAUGGCAUACGUUAACGGAGGCAAGAAGACUAGACAUGCGUACCGUAGGCCGGGAUUCCCCCCCCCCCCCCC